ACGGGCGUAGCUCAGUUGGUAGAGCAGAGGUCUCCAAAACCUAAGGUCGUGAGUUCGAGUCUUACCGCCCGUG
rnacentral:tRNA from 1 species